ACUCCUACGGGAGGCAGCAGUGGGGAAUAUUGCACAAUGGGCGCAAGCCUGAUGCAGCCAUGCCGCGUGUAUGAAGAAGGCCUUCGGGUUGUAAAGUACUUUCAGCGGGGAGGAAGGCGAUAAGGUUAAUAACCUUGUCGAUUGACGUUACCCGCAGAAGAAGCACCGGCUAACUCCGUGCCAGCAGCCGCGGUAAUACGGAGGGUGCAAGCGUUAAUCGGAAUUACUGGGCGUAAAGCGCACGCAGGCGGUCUGUCAAGUCGGAUGUGAAAUCCCCGGGCUCAACCUGGGAACUGCAUUCGAAACUGGCAGGCUAGAGUCUUGUAGAGGGGGGUAGAAUUCCAGGUGUAGCGGUGAAAUGCGUAGAGAUCUGGAGGAAUACCGGUGGCGAAGGCGGCCCCCUGGACAAAGACUGACGCUCAGGUGCGAAAGCGUGGGGAGCAAACAGGAUUAGAUACCCUAGUAGUCCCAUGA
rnacentral:rRNA from 1 species